UACGUAGGGUGCGAGCGUUAAUCGGAUUUACUGGGCGUAAAGCGUGCGCAGGUGGUUCCUUAAGUCUGAUGUGAAAGCCCCCGGCUCAACCGGGGAGGGUCAUUGGAAACUGGGGAACUUGAGUGCAGAAGAGGAUAGUGGAAUUCCAAGUGUAGCGGUGAAAUGCGUAGAGAUGUGGAGGAACACCAGUGGCGAAGGCGACUCUCUGGUCUGUAACUGACGCUGAGGAGCGAAAGCGUGGGGAGCGAACAGG
rnacentral:rRNA from 1 species